rnacentral:rRNA from 1 species
AUGAACGCUAGCGGCAGGCCUAACACAUGCAAGUCGAGGGGCAGCAUUUCUAGCUUGCUAGAAGAUGGCGACCGGCGCACGGGUGAGUAACGCGUAUGCAACCUGCCUUGUACAGGGGGAUAGCUCUCGGAAACGAGAAUUAAUACCCCAUAGUAUUAUAACAACACAUGUUGUAAUAAUUAAAGCUUCGGCGGUACAAGAUAGGCAUGCGUCCUAUUAGUUAGUUGGUGAGGUAAUGGCUCACCAAGACUUCGAUAGGUAGGGGGCCUGAGAGGGUUAUCCCCCACACUGGUACUGAGACACGGACCAGACUCCUACGGGAGGCAGCAGUGAGGAAUAUUGGUCAAUGGAGGAAACUCUGAACCAGCCAUGCCGCGUGCAGGAAGAAUGCCCUACGGGUUGUAAACUGCUUUUAUAUAGGAAGAAAAUCCCCGACGUGUCGGGGGCUGACGGUACUAUAUGAAUAAGCACCGGCUAACUCCGUGCCAGCAGCCGCGGUAAUACGGAGGGUGCAAGCGUUAUCCGGAUUUAUUGGGUUUAAAGGGUGCGCAGGCUGGAUAGUCAGUCAGUGGUGAAAUCUCUCGGCUUAACUGGGAAACUGCCAUUGAUACUGUUAGUCUUGAAUUCGGUCGUAGUGGGCGGAAUAUGUCAUGUAGCGGUGAAAUGCUUAGAUAUGACAUAGAACACCGAUAGCGAAGGCAGCUCACUAGGCCUGGAUUGACGCUCAGGGACGAAAGCGUGGGUAGCGAACAGGAUUAGAUACCCUGGUAGUCCACGCUGUAAACGAUGAUCACUCGUUAUUGGCGAUACACUGUCAGUGACUAAGCGAAAGUGUUAAGUGAUCCACCUGGGGAGUACGAUCGCAAGGUUGAAACUCAAAGGAAUUGACGGGGGCCCGCACAAGCGGUGGAGCAUGUGGUUUAAUUCGAUGAUACGCGAGGAACCUUACCAGGGCUUAAAUGUAGAGUGACUGCUCCCGAAAAGGAGCUUUCUUCGGACAGUCUACAAGGUGCUGCAUGGUUGUCGUCAGCUCGUGCCGUGAGGUGUUGGGUUAAGUCCCGCAACGAGCGCAACCCCUAUCUUUAGUUGCUAGCAGGUAAUGCUGAGGACUCUAAAGAAACUGCCGGUGCAAACCGUGAGGAAGGUGGGGACGACGUCAAGUCAUCACGGCCCUUACGUCCUGGGCCACACACGUGCUACAAUGGUAGGUACAGAGGGCAGCUACCUGGUGACAGGAUGCGAAUCUCGAAAACCUAUCUCAGUUCGGAUCGAAGUCUGCAACUCGACUUCAUGAAGCUGGAAUCGCUAGUAAUCGCGCAUCAGCCAUGGCGCGGUGAAUACGUUCCCGGGCCUUGUACACACCGCCCGUCAAGCCAUGGAAGCUGGGGGUACCUAAAGUCGGUAACCGUAAGGAGCCGCCUAGGGUAAAACUGGUAACUAGGGCUA